UAUGCAAACAGGGACUAAUAAGUAGCGGAUCCAUUUUUCUCCGUCGAACGAACCGGUAUUCCGCACUGCGUCGGACGCUGUCCGCCGUUGUCGGCCCUGUGUGGUUGUUCUCAGGCGAGUGGCGAAGAAGGUUCGAACUUUAGGGCUUUCCCAAAAUCUGUUCUCUGUUUCAGCCAGCCAUGGGAUCCAGAGGAGUAAUCAGUGAUAAAUGGUCGAUGAGAGUUCUCUGGGUUUGUGCCAUUGGAAGUGCUGUCAGCUUAUAUAUGGUUGCGGCGGAAAGAAAAUUACAAAAUAGGGAGAGGAUGCUGGCAGAAGGCUUGAAGGCUAUGGAAUCAGGAGAAACAAAUGACAAUGGCACCUAACCAUGCAACAAGCACUGCCCAGUUUGUGGCACUGUCAUUAUCAGCAUCCCACACAUUGAUGCAACUAAAGACUGCAUCCAUUCCAUGCUUCAUGGAUCAGGAAGAAAGAACGUGACAAGAAUUGAAUAUUGAUCUCUUCGUCAUAGAAGCUUUGGCCUAUAUAUGGUUGCCGAGAAAAGACAAACGCAAAACAGGGCCAGGCAGAGAAGAAGUGGCAUGCAGCCCUACUGGUAGCCUCAUUUGCAAUAGCUAAUGGACAGAGUAACUGAAUGAAUAAUGUAGUUUCCUACAAAGCAGGCUUCCAUCUUCUAUUUCUUCCCGUGGGCAAAGAAGAGGACCUUGAAACUGCUCCUAUUCUAAAACUAUAUGAUGCUGAUGUAGAAACUGAAGCAGAGGGGCGAAGGAGAGGUGUAGCUGCCCUGCUUGAAGUUUCAUUUGCAAUGGCUGAUGGAGAAGAUGUAGCUCUAGUUACCGGUAGUAAUUCUAAGUCGUUACCAGCGAUGGCAGAUUUGGGGGCAGCUGGAAGGUCUUCAGCUGAUUGGUUGUCGUCUUCCUCGAUAGACAACACUGUACUUGUGUCUGUAUGUAUGGUGGAAUCAUCAGUCAAGAAACCAUGUCUUCUCUUUCUCCUGGCUUGUUUCCCCCAUCCAUGAAUAGUUUCCCUUAUUCUAUGUGGAAUUAAUGCAGCCUUAUAGUUUGUUCCCAUCUGAAUCAAACAUAGGAAAGCUGUUACCACAUGAGACAUGAAAGUGGCAAAACAUAUGAAUGAUCUAUUCUUCAAUAUAAAGAGUCUCAGUUUAAUCUGGUC